UCAUGNCUCAGAACGAACGCUGGCGGCGUGGUUGAUCCAUUNNAGUCGAGCGGGAACGUUUCCUUCGGGGAGCUAGUAUAGCGGCGGACGGGUGAGUAAUACAUGGUCAAUCUGCCCCCUGGACGGGGAUAGCCUUUCGAAAGGAAGGGUAAUACCCGAUAUGACCACAACCCCGCAUGGGGAUGGGGUAAAAAGGUUGGGAUCUUCGGACCUUCCGCCUGGGGAUGAGACCAUGUCCUAUUAGCUUGUUGGUGGGGUAGCGGCCCACCAAGGCGACGAUGGGUAGCCGGCCUGAGAGGGUGGACGGCCACACUGGGACUGAGACACGGCCCAGACUCCUACGGGAGGCAGCAGUGCUGAAUCAUUCGCCAAUGCGCGCAAGCGUGACGGUGCGACGCCGCGUGCGGGAUGAAGGCUUUCGGGUUGUAAACCGCUGUCAGGACUUCGAAAACCGUAAUCGUGAAUAGCGAUUGCGCUGAUCCGGUCCAAAGGAAGCACAGGCUAAUCUCGUGCCAGCAGCCGCGGUAACACGAGAUGUGCGAGCGUUGUUCGGAAUUACUGGGCGUAAAGGGUGCGUAGGCGGUACGGUCAGUCAGAUGUGAAAGCCCCCGGCUCAACCGGGGAAUCGCAUUUGAUACUGCCGUGCUUGAGGUCGGAAGGGGCAAGCGGAAUUCCAGGUGUAGCGGUGGAAUGCGUAGAUAUCUGGGAGAACGCCAACGGCGAAGGCAGCUUGCUGGUCCGCACCUGACGCUGAGGCACGAAAGCUAGGGGAGCAAACAGGANUAGAUACCCUGGUAGUCCUAGCCGUAACGAUGGGCACUUUGUAUCGGGGCCUCUGACGGCUUCGNGCGGAGCUAACGCGUUAGUGCCCGCCUGGGGAGUAUGGUCGCAGGCUAAACUCAAGGAAUGNCGGGGCUCANNANCGGUGGAGCAUGUUG
rnacentral:rRNA from 1 species